rnacentral:lncRNA from 1 species
AUUCAAAGAUUCGGGAAUUAGGGAGGUUAAGAAAAAGGGAGGAUACAAGGUUUUGGGGUAGGGGUCAAAAAAGGAACUUCUGGCGAUCAAUGCUGAAAGGUCGAUGUAUUGUACUAGUGAAUCGGGAUUUUAAUGAAGUGGAUGUGAUUACUCUUGACUUUUUUGUGAAAUCAAAGUUAUGUCUGUGAUUGAAGAAUUAAAAGGGUGUUUAUAGGAUUGAGUAUGCAGAGUGAAUAAAAGUUUUUGGAUUAAUCUAACAAGACAGUCAGUAGA